rnacentral:rRNA from 1 species
UAGGGCGCAAUUCGAAAGUUCGAAGGUCAACCGUUUCGGUCGGCCUAAGGUAGGAUCCCGGCCCUCGGGGCCGGGCGCACUACCGGCCCGUCUCGUCUUCAUUUUGUAAGUGAGGCGGAGCAAGAGCGUACAUGUUGGGACCCGAAAGAUGGUGAACUAUGCCUGAGUAGGACGAAGCCAGAGGAAACUCUGGUGGAGGUCCGUAGCGAUUCUGACGUGCAAAUCGAUCGUCAAACUUGGGUAUAGGGGCGAAAGACUAAUCGAACCAUCUAGUAGCAUUUUCCUUCCGA